UUUGAUCCCAAAGGGGUUGCAACCCACAGACUGAGAGCUGCUGAUCUAGGGCCUGUCAGAGCCACGGAGCUACUAAGCACCUUUCUUGUCCCCGAACGGUGAUGAGCACUAUGUGCCAGUACCUAUGUGUUCCAGGGACCAGCUUUGGGCUUUGGUUGACCAGUAGGAAGGCACUCAUGGUAAACAAAGUCUGCUCUUCACCCUGAGGCCAGAGGAGACAGCCCAGCCCCUCGUGAUGCCCGCCCACCGCAUGGUGCUUCUUGUCAUUUGGAAAAAUCAAGGCUCCACAUGACAGCCCUUCUCUGCUCUGCUAACGCUGCGACCCGGUUUCUUCUGGCAGCUCUGAGAAUUGAACCCAGGGCUUCACUCAUGAUAGGCAAGCAGCCUACCUAACACUAAGAAUUUCCCUAAAUCCAUGCUGCUACACAGAGCGGAUCAGCCUGCCAACUCAGAUAUAUGCAAACAUAUUCCUGGGAUAGAAAGAUGAUUUUGAAAGCCAUCUUGCAAACAUGGGUGUCUAACUGGAAGCUCAUGGGGACUUAGAUAUAUGGAGGCCACAGAAGAGGGACCAGGCAUGACAGCACUCUCUAUGUCAGCAUCAUGUUUCUAGUGACAGUAAGGCACAGUAUGUUGUCAUACUUCCUUUUUGUGAUGCUUUGGACAGAAACCAGGGUCUCUCCUCUGCUAGGAAUGUGUUCUAUUACUGAACAACAUCAUCAGCUACUAGUACAGAAUCAACAGUAAGAGGUGGGUGUGCACUCGUAUGCGUGCAUGUACAUGUGAAUGUGUGUGUACUAAGAUUGCAAGUGAGAAAUGCAAUAAGACUUUAUCUUACCAAUAUAUAGUAAUU
ensembl:lincRNA 4930539M17Rik RIKEN cDNA 4930539M17 gene